rnacentral:rRNA from 1 species
UACGAAGGGGGCUAGCGUUGCUCGGAAUCACUGGGCGUAAAGCGCACGUAGGCGGGUCGUUAAGUCGGGGGUGAAAUCCUGGAGCUCAACUCCAGAACUGCCUUCGAUACUGGCGAUCUUGAGUCUGGGAGAGGUGAGUGGAACUCCGAGUGUAGAGGUGAAAUUCGUAGAUAUUCGGAAGAACACCAGUGGCGAAGGCGGCGC